GAUUACUCUUGACUGUUUUGUAAAAUCGAGUUACGUCUGAGAUUGAAGAAUUAAAAGGGUGUCUAUAGGAUUGAGUAUGCAGAGUGAAUGAAAUUUAUUGGGUUAAUCUAACAAGACAGUCAGUGGAUACAAGAUCGUGAGUAUAAAGUGGUAUCGAAGAUUAGCAGUUUGGGUUGUUCGGGGUUCUCUGUAACGUCUAGAG
rnacentral:lncRNA from 1 species